GAUGAACGCUGGCGGCGUGCCUAAUACAUGCGAGUCGAGCGAACAGACGAGGAGCUUGCUCCUCUGACGUUAGCGGCGGACGGGUGAGUAACACGUGGAUAACCUACCUAUAAGACUGGGAUAACUUCGGGAAACCGGAGCUAAUACCGGAUAAUAUAUUGAACCGCAUGGUUCAAUAGUGAAAGACGGUUUUGCUGUCACUUAUAGAUGGAUCCGCGCCGCAUUAGCUAGUUGGUAAGGUAACGGCUUACCAAGGCAACGAUGCGUAGCCGACCUGAGAGGGUGAUCGGCCACACUGGAACUGAGACACGGUCCAGACUCCUACGGGAGGCAGCAGUAGGGAAUCUUCCGCAAAGGGCGAAAGCUUGACGGAGCAACGCCGCGUGAGUGAUGAAGGUCUUCGGAUCGUAAAACUCUGUUAUUAGGGAAGAACAAAUGUGUAAGUAACUAUGCACGUCUUGACGGUACCUAAUCAGAAAGCCACGGCUAACUACGUG
rnacentral:rRNA from 1 species